CGAAGCCACACCUUGCUGAUGUAUUUCUUAGGUGCUCUUUCCUGAAGUACCGGAGUGGUUGUCAGGUGGACUGGCAAGUCAUAGCACCUGUUCUUCAGCUCCAUUCUGUGCUUCUACUGCAAGCUCCUCCCCACUAUGCCAUCAUCAUGGCCGUAAGCCAGAGAUGACACUCCUCAGAACCAGUGUUCUAUUUUCCUGUAACGUACUGUGUACAUUAAUUUAACCUCCCAUCUACUUACUGCAGGGCAGGAUGCCACCCUCCCAGCCACCACCUGACCACAUGAAUCCAAGCAGACUUUGCAGUCUGUACUAUUUCUAUUGCCUCCUAGAACAGAAUCUUGGUUGAUUCUACAAUAUAAACCCAAAAACAGCACAUGAAAGAGGACUUCUACACCUACUCUCACCCUUGCUGCCUCACUUGGCCCUGUUUCUUUGAAUAAGGCAGUCUGUUUCCUCUGCAUAUGGCUAUUUCCUACUCUGCUGCUUCCCAUAUGGUCUGGGAGCCUUCACAGAUCUGCACUUCCCACUAAAGACAAUUGCAGAGAAGAGCCGAUCAGAGCACAGCUUAAAAUUGGAACUGUGGCAAACCUUGAUUCAACCUUUAUCUUCAUUGGUGAUAUCACACAAGCAUCUCAUGCACACAUUACUGGAAGAUAACAGGCACAACUUUACAACAGCAAGGAACCUGACAGUGCCAGUACAACACUAAUGUGAGCAUCUGCUUCAUCAGCUACAUGGUUUUACAGAAGUUACUCAGUUUGUGGAACCAGGGCUCGUUACAGACCGGUUUCCCAUGGAUUUCAGUAACGUUCAGUGGCAGUGAACAAGACCAAGAAAGUACUUCAGUGCUACAGCAUUCGUUGUGCCUGUCUGCCAGUGUAACUCCUGACAAGUGUGUUACCUUCAAACGCACGGAGCCUGUCAU
rnacentral:lncRNA from 1 species